rnacentral:rRNA from 1 species
UACGGGGGGGGCAGGCGUUGUUCGGAAUUACUGGGCGUAAAGGGCUCGUAGGCGGCCAACUAAGUCAGACGUGAAAUCCCUCGGCUUAACCGGGGAACUGCCUCUGAUACUGGAUGGCUUGAGAUUGGGAGAGGGAUGCGGAAUUCCAGGUGUAGCGGUGAAAUGCGUAGAUAUCUGGAGGAACACCGGUGGCGAAGGCGGCAUCCUGGACCAACACUGACGCUGAGGAGCGAAAGCCAGGGGAGCAAACGGG